UGCAUUUCCUGGUCGCAAUAUGGCGACAAUGGUGUUGGGAACUUGGUCUAAUUUACUGGUUUUUAAUAGCUUGCCUGUUGCAUUUGGUGGUUUGGUGUUUUUUUUGUUGGUUUCCUCCUCUUUCUCAUUUUUUGCAUCAAAUGAGAUGCAUAUUUCAAAUUUUGAGAUAUUGGUUUACUCGUUGUGUGAGGAAAUAAUUAGGUUGAAUGAUUAGUUGCAUUAUCAAUGAAAUAAUUUGGAAUUGUAUGUGGAUAAGUAUCAGUUGAGUUGAAGGUUAGUAAUUAUGUGACCAAUAAUAUUUCCAGUUCAAUGUUCCACUAAUCUACCGCUUUCAGCAGUUUUCUUCCUCAAACUUCCUCUAUCUUUUCUCCCAUUCCUACCUCUCUCAUUCUCCUACUUCUGCUUUCUCUCCUCCCUCUCUCGUUGUAUCAAAAGAUUUUGCUAUGUUUCUAUCUGUCUCAUUUUCUUCCCCUCUUAGAUUUGAGUUCUGUUUUGUUAGAUUUGCUUUUGAUGAUUAUAAAGGUUUCCUUCUCUUGUGCCUUUUAGAUGGUUACAUGAAUUUUGAUUAUUGUUUGUAUUUUUGUUAUCACAUCAUUCUGGGAUGCUUAGCUUCCCUUUUUUUCUUUUUAUUUUAUAUUUUUUCUUUGUAGUCCAUGAUUUUUCUUUUUCCUCUCAAAUUUUCAACCAAGCAUAUAUGGCCAAAGAAAGCAACUGGAGAAGUUGUUGCUUUAAAGAAGAUACGCAUGGACAAUGAAAAAGAAGGGUUAUUGUUAUUCUACCCAAUUUCUUAUUUUCUUAGCUUAUGACAUUUUAAUUUCCUUAGUGGAUAAAUGGUUAUGCCUGCUCUUUUUAGAACACUCAUAAUUUUUUCUUGUAGUUUCCUGUAACUGCCAUGCAUGAAAUAAAAAUUCUAAGGAAGUUGUAGCAUGAAAAUGUCAUUAAACUGAAAGAGAUUGUGGCCUCUCCUGGUACUCAUCCUUCUCCAUAUGUUCAGAGUGGUUAUUUAAUUCAUAAACAUCAAACAUAUACUAUAUGUUUUGUUGUCUUACAUAUAAUAAACUCUUUUUCAGAUCAUGAGGUUGAUAAGCAAGUGAAUCAAGAAGGUAAUAGAUACAAAGGCAGUAUUUACAUGAUUUUUGGGUAUAUGGACCACAGCUUGACGGGACUUGCUGAUUGUCCUGGAUUGAGAUUUACAAUUCAACAUAUCAAUGUAUGUGACCUUGGACAAGGAGGAUUUACUCAUUAUAAUGAGCAUCCAUCACUUUUUUUUUUUGUCAACAAAGCAUCCAUCACUCAACUUGUUCUAAUAAUAUGUAUUUGUAGUGUUAUAUGAAGUAGCUGCUUACUGGUCUUCACUACUGUCAUCUCAAUAACGUGCAGAUAUCAAAGGUUAACUUUUUUAUUCUUUUCUAAACAUAUUAUCUAGGAUUUUAGGUGUGCAUAUGAUACUAUGUUCUGGUUUUUGGUUUGGCAGGCUCCAGUAUGCUCAUAGAUAUAAGGGAAACCUGAAGCUAGCAGAUUUUGGACUACCAUAAUCAUUCUCCAAUAACCACAGUCCAUGGAUGAUGAUUUUCCCUUAUAGCUGACCCAUGUCUUUGAUAUUAUAACUUAAUUUUCAAUCAAGAAAAUUUACUCUUCUAUGUAUUGAGCAGACCUUCAGAGUUGCUUCUUGGAGCUACGAAAUAUGAUUCGGCAGUAGACAUGUGAAUGCUGAACUGAGUACUCAUGUGGCUAAGCAGUAAAGAGGAAGGAAUCUGCUGUCCUGUGUUAGGCAUUCAUGUCGUUUGAUUAUGAGUGCAGUUUCAUUGGAUGUUUUUUAGUUAAUGUGUAUUAUGUAGUUAUAGUUGUUAGAGCACUCAAGCACAGAAAUUCUGUAAUAGCUAGGUUGUUGCCAUUUCAGUUUGUAUAUACCUUACUCUUUUUAUAUGUAUUUAUGGAUCAUGAUGUUAUGUA